GCCCUCGUUGUCUAAUGGUUAUGAUAUCAGACUUCUACAACUGGGUUGAAAUCUGAAGGUUGUGGGUUCGAGUCCCACCGGGGGUA